rnacentral:piRNA from 1 species
UCAUAUAGCCCAUUACCUGUUUCUCUGUGU